GACAGAGGGUGCAAACGUUUGUUCGGAAUUACUGGGCGUAAAGCGCGUGUAGGCGGCUUUGCAAGUCGGGUGUGAAAGCCCUCAGCUCAACUGAGGAAGUGCGCCCGAAACUGCAGAGCUUGAGUACCGGAGAGGGUGGCGGAAUUCCCCAAGUAGAGGUGAAAUUCGUAGAUAUGGGGAGGAACACCGGUGGCGAAGGCGGCCGACC
rnacentral:rRNA from 1 species